rnacentral:rRNA from 1 species
CUAGUCGCACGAGUUCAGACUCGUGGCGAAUAGCUCAGUAACACGUGGCCAAACUACCCUUCGGACUACAAUACCCUCGGGAAACUGAGGUUAAUAGUAGAUACCACAGUCCACCUGGAAUGAGGACUGUGCCAAACGCUCCGGCACCGAAGGAUGUGGCUGCGGCCGAUUAGGUAGACGGUGGGGUAACGGCCCACCGUGCCAAUAAUCGGUACGGGUCAUGAGAGUGAGAACCCGGAGACGGAAUCUGAGACAAGAUUCCGGGCCCUACGGGGCGCAGCAGGCGCGAAACCUUUACACUGCACGCCAGUGCGAUAAGGGAAUCCCAAGUGCGCAGGCAUAGAGCCUGCGCUUUUGUCCACCGUAGGGAGGUGGACGAAUAAGGGCUGGGCAAGACCGGUGCCAGCCGCCGCGGUAAUACCGGCAGCCCGAGUGAUGGCCGAUCUUAUUGGGCCUAAAGCGUCCGUAGCUGGCCGCGCAAGUCCAUCGGAAAAUCCACCCGCCCAACGGGUGGGCGUCCGGUGGAAACUGCGUGGCUUGGGACCGGAAGGCGCGACGGGUACGUCCGGGGUAGGAGUGAAAUCCUGUAAUCCUGGACGGACCGCCGAUGGCGAAAGCACGUCGCGAAGACGGAUCCGACAGUGA